rnacentral:misc_RNA from 1 species
GAUGAAGAACGCAGCGAAAUGCGAUAAGUAGUGUGAAUUGCAGAAUUUAGUGAAUCAUCGAAUCUUUGAACGCACAUUGCGCCCCUUGGUAUUCCGGGGGGCAUGCCUGUUCGAGCGUCAUUUCAACCCUCAAGCUCUGCUUGGUCUUGGGCCGCGCCGGCGACGGCGGGCCUCAAAAACAGUGGCGGCGCCAUCUGGUUCCUCAGCGUAGUAAUUCUUCUCGCUGUUGGGCCCGGGUGGCCGCUGGCCAGCAACCCCAAAUUUUCUAUGGUUGACCUCGGAUCAGGUAGGGAUACCCGCUGAACUUAAGCAUAUCAAUAAGCGGAGGA